UAGUUCAAUCUCUCCAACUUUCCUCGACUCUGAAAUAAGUGUUGAGCUUGAGAGACCAAAAUUUCUAAAAAAGAUACAUAGCCUAUUGGUUUUUUCUCCUGUGAAAAUUGUCUUGGACUCCUUUGAAAUUGUGAACUACCCAUUUUUUUCCAUGAAAGGAACGCCCUUGGCCAGCCAACAUCCCAAUGGAUAUUAGAUUUCUUUGAGACAUGCCUCACAUUUUUCAAGAGGAUGUCUCUAUUUUCUUCAAGCUUUAAACCAAUUGAGGCAAUUUCCACAAUUUUGAAAUUGUGAUUCCCUCCUAUCGAAACAGCCCAUCCCUUACUUGAUUAGUAAGUCACAAACCAAUCUUUUCAACAAUAGCUAGCAUUUUUGGGGGUGGAAAAAAAGCAAAUAAAUCUUCCCCAAUAGAGACAUCUUCAUCUCCAUUUUCCCUGCUUCUUCCAUAUUCCUCGUCUUUUCUAUCUUCUGGAAAAUUUCAUUUAAAAUGGCCCUUCUUGUGACAAAGAUAACAUUUCAGCACUAAUUUUCCUUUGAAAUUUCUUUGACCCUUGAAAGAUGGCUUCAGGUGAGGAGUUUAUUAGAAGAGUAGCUUCACUUUCUGAACCCAAUUUCCCCCCUGUAGCAGCAAACUCUUUGGUGAGUUCCUUGAACUCAUCGAGAUUCUCAUCAAGAGACUUGGGACUAUUCAUACACACAGACAUGCCAAUCCAAGGUUCCAUAAAAAACAACUUUACCAAAAACUCUUUGCAGAACAUACAAAAUACCAACACACAAACGAAAGUAAAUGAGAGAAGAAUGGACAGGAAACAAGAACUCUUCCUUACUCGAAAA